CAGACUCCUACGGGAGGCAGCAGUAGGGAAUUUUCGGCAAUGGACGGAAGUCUGACCGAGCAACGCCGCGUGAAUGAUGAAGUAUUUCGGUAUGUAAAGUUCUUUUAUUUGGGAAGAAAAAACAAAUUGACGGUACCAAAUGAAUAAGCCCCGGCUAACUACGUGCCAGCAGCCGCGGUAAUACGUAGGGGGCAAGCGUUAUCCGGAAUUAUUGGGCGUAAAGGGUGCGUAGGCGGGUUAUCAAGUCUUUGGUUAAAAUGCGGUGCUCAACGCCGUAGUGCCAAAGAAACUGAUAGUCUAGAGUAUGGUAGAAGUGAGUGGAACUCCAUGUGUAGCGGUAAAAUGCGUAAAUAUAUGGAAGAACACCAGUGGCGAAGGCGGCUCACUAGGCCAAUACUGACGCUGAGACACGAAAGCGUGGGGAGCAAACAGGAUUAGAUACCCUGGUAGUCCACGCCCUAAACGAUGAGUACUAAGUGUAGCCAGAAGGCUGUGCUGAAGUUAACGCAUUAAGUACUCCGCCUGAGUAGUACGUACGCAAGUAUGAAACUUAAAGGAAUUGACGGGAUCCCGCACAAGCGGUGGAGCAUGUUGUUUAAUUCGACGAUACGCGAAGAACCUUACCAGGUCUUGACAUACUCGGCAAAUCUAUAGAGAUAUAGAGGAGGUUAACCGGGAUACAGGUGGUGCAUGGUUGUCGUCAGCUCGUGUCGUGAGAUGUUAGGUUAAGUCCUGCAACGAGCGCAACCCUUAUUGCUAGUUACCAUCAUUAAGUUGGGGACUCUAGCGAGACUGCCGGUGAUAAACUGGAGGAAGGCGGGGAUGACGUCAAAUCAUCAUGCCCUUUAUGACCUGGGCUAC
rnacentral:rRNA from 1 species